rnacentral:rRNA from 1 species
CCUACGGGAGGCUGCAGUGAGGAAUAUUGGUCAAUGGCCGGAAGGCUGAACCAGCCAUGCCGCGUGAAGGUCAGUGCCCUAUGGGCGUUAAACUUCUUUUGUGCGGGAGCAAUAAUGGUCACGUGUGGCCAGACGAGAGUACCGUACGAAUAAGCAUCGGCUAACUCCGUGCCAGCAGCCGCGGUAAUACGUAGGGGGCGAGCGUUAUCCGGAUUCACUGGGUGUAAAGGGAGCGUAGACGGCCAUGCAAGCCAGGGGUGAAAGCCCGGGGCCCAACCCCGGGACUGCCCUUGGAACUGCAUGGCUGGAGUGCGGGAGGGGCAGGCGGAAUUCCUGGUGUAGCGGUGAAAUGCGUAGAUAUCAGGAGGAACACCGGCGGCGAAGGCGGCCUGCUGGACUGCGACUGACGUUGAGGCUCGAAAGCGUGGGGAGCGAACAGGAUUAGAUACCCCAGUAGUC